rnacentral:rRNA from 1 species
AGUGAACGCUGGCGGUAGGCCUAACACAUGCAAGUCGAACGGCAGCACAGUAAGAGCUUGCUCUUACGGGUGGCGAGUGGCGGACGGGUGAGGAAUACAUCGGAAUCUACUUUUUCGUGGGGGAUAACGUAGGGAAACUUACGCUAAUACCGCAUACGACCUACGGGUGAAAGCAGGGGAUCUUCGGACCUUGCGCGAUUGAAUGAGCCGAUGUCGGAUUAGCUAGUUGGCGGGGUAAAGGCCCACCAAGGCGACGAUCCGUAGCUGGUCUGAGAGGAUGAUCAGCCACACUGGAACUGAGACACUGUCCAGACUCCUACGGGAGGCAGCAGUGGGGAAUAUUGGACAGUGGGCGCAAGCCUGAUCCAGCCAUACCGCGUGGGUGAAGAAGGCCUUCGGGUUGUAAAGCCCUUUUGUUGGGAAAGAAAAGCAGCAGGUUAAUACCCCGCUGUUCUGACGGUACCCAAAGAAUAAGCACCGGCUAACUUCGUG